AUUGAACGCUGGCGGCAUGCCUUACACAUGCAAGUCGAACGGUAACGCGGGGCAACCUGGCGACGAGUGGCGAACGGGUGAGUAAUGCAUCGGAACGUGCCCAGUAGUGGGGGAUAGCCCGGCGAAAGCCGGAUUAAUACCGCAUACGACCUACGGGUGAAAGGGGGGGAUCGCAAGACCUCUCGCUAUUGGAGCGGCCGAUGUCAGAUUAGGUAGUUGGUGGGGUAAAGGCCUACCAAACCUACGAUCUGUAGCUGGUCUGAGAGGACGACCAGCCAAACUGGGACUGAGACACGGCCCAGACUCCUACGGGAGGCAGCAGUGGGGAAUUUUGGACAAUGGGCGCAAGCCUGAUCCAGCCAUGCCGCGUGCGGGAAGAAGGCCUUCGGGUUGUAAACCGCUUUUGUCGGGGAAGAAAUCUUCUGGGCUAAUACCUCGGGAGGAUGACGGUACCCGAAGAAUAAGCACCGGCUAACUACGUGCCAGCCGCCGCCGUAA
rnacentral:rRNA from 1 species